rnacentral:rRNA from 1 species
UACAGAGGGGGCAAGCGUUGUUCGGAAUUACUGGGCGUAAAGGGCGCGUAGGCGGCCUGUUAAGUCGAACGUGAAAUCCCUCGGCUUAACCGGGGAACUGCGUCUGAUACUGGAUGGCUUGAGGUUGGGAGAGGGAUGCGGAAUUCCAGGUGUAGCGGUGAAAUGCGUAGAUAUCUGGAGGAACACCGGUGGCGAAGGCGGCAUCCUGGACCAAUUCUGACACUGAGGAGCGAAAGCCAGGGGAGCAAACGGG